GAAACGACUGCUAAGACUGGAUAGGAAACAAAAAGGCAUCUUUUUGUUUUUAAAAGACCUUCUUAUGAAGGUAUUCUUAAAGAGGGGCUUGCGCCACAUUAGUUAGUUGGUAGAGUAAAAGCCUACCAAGACGAUGAUGUGUAGCUGGACUGAGAGGUUGAACAGCCACAUUGGGACUGAGACACGGCCCAAACUCCUACGGGAGGCAGCAGUAGGGAAUUUUCGGCAAUGGAGGAAACUCUGACCGAGCAACGCCGCGUGAACGAUGAAGUAUUUCGGUAUGUAAAGUUCUUUUAUUGAAGAAGAAAAAGUAGUGGAAAAACUAUAUUGACGUUAUUCAAUGAAUAAGCCCCGGCUAACUAUGUGCCAGCAGCCGCGGUAAGACAUAGGGGGCGAGCGUUAUCCGGAAUUAUUGGGCGUAAAGGGUGCGUAGGCUGUUAGAUAAGUCUAUAAUUUAAUUUCAGUGCUUAACGCUGUCUUGUUAUAGAAACUGUCUUGACUAGAGUGAGAUAGAGGCAAGCGGAAUUCCAUGUGUAGCGGUAAAAUGUGUAAAUAUAUGGAGGAACACCAGAAGCGUAGGCGGCUUGCUGGGUCUUUACUGACGCUGAGGCACGAAAGCGUGGGUAGCAAACAGGAUUAGAUACCCUGGUAGUCCACGCCGUAAACGAUGAGUACUAAGUGUCGGGGUAAAACUCGGUACUGAAGUUAACACAUUAAGUACUCCGCCUGAGUAGUACGUACGCAAGUAUGAAACUUAAAGGAAUUGACGGGACUCCGCACAAGCGGUGGAUCAUGUUGUUUAAUUCGAAGAUACACGAAAAAUCUUACCAGGUCUUGACAUACUCUGCAAAGCUAUAGAAAUAUAGUGGAGGUUAUCAGGGAUACAGGUGGUGCAUGGUUGUCGUCAGUUCGUGUCGUGAGAUGUUAGGUUAAGUCCUAAAACGAGCGCAACCCUUGUCGUUAAUUGCCAGCACGUAAUGGUGGGGACUUUAGCGAGACUGCCAAUUAAACAUUGGGAGAAAGUGAGGAUUACGUCCAAUCAUCAUGCCCCUUAUGAUCUGGGCUACAAACGUGAUACAAUGGCUGUGACAAAGAGUAGCUGAAACGCGAGUUUUUAGCCAAUCUCAAAAAAGCAGUCUCAGUUCGGAUUGAAGUCUGUAACUCGACUUCAUGAAGUUGGAAUCGCUAGUAAUCGCGAAUCAGCAUGUCGCGGUGAAUACGUUCACGGGGUUUGUACACACCGCCCGUCA
rnacentral:rRNA from 1 species